AUCGAACGCUGGCGGAAUGCUUUACACAUGCAAGUCGAACGGCAGCACGGACUUCGGUCUGGUGGCGAGUGGCGAACGGGUGAGUAAUGUAUCGGAACGUGCCCAGUCGUGGGGGAUAACGUAGUGGAAAUUACGCUAAUACCGCAUACGAUCUAUGGAUGAAAGCGGGGGAUGGCAAGACCUCACGCGAUUGGAUCGGCCGAUGACAGAUUAGGUAGUUGGUGGGGUAAAGGCCCACCAAGGCAACGAUCUGUAGAUGGUCUGAGAGGACGACCAGCCAAACUGGAACGGAGACACGGUCCAGACUCCUACGGGAGGCAGCAGUGGGGAAUUUUGGACAAUGGGCGAAAGCCUGAUCCAGCCAUUCCGCGUGCAGGAUGAAGGCCCUCGGGUUGUAAACUGCUUUUGUACAGAACGAAAAGGUUUCUACUAAUACUAGGAGCUCAUGACGGUACUGUAAGAAUAAGCACCGGCUAACUACGUGCCAGCCGCCGCAGUAA
rnacentral:rRNA from 1 species